rnacentral:rRNA from 1 species
UGAGGAAUAUUGGGCAAUGCCCGCAAGGGUGACCCAGCAACGCCGCGUGGAGGAUGAAUGUCGUAAGAUUGUAAACUCCUGUUAGAGGGGAAGAACAGCCCGGAUUGCAUCCGGGUCUGACUGUACCCUCAGAGAAAGCCCCGGCUAACUACGUGCCAGCAGCCGCGGUAAUACGUAGGGGGCAAGCGUUGUCCGGAUUUACUGGGUGUAAAGGGCGCGUAGGCGGGCUCGUAAGUCAGAGGUGAAAUCCUACAGCUUAACUGUAGAACUGCCUUUGAUACUGCGAGUCUUGAGUUCAGAAGAGAGAGAUGGAAUUCCAGGUGUAGUGGUGAAAUACGUAGAUAUCUGGAAGAACACCAGUUGCGAAGGCGAUCUCUUGGUCUGACACUGACGCUGAGGCGCGAAAGCGUGGGGAGCAAACAGG